rnacentral:rRNA from 1 species
CUUGAACGCUGGCGGCAUGCUUUACGCAUGCAAGUCGAACGGUAACAGGUUAAGCUGACGAGUGGCGAACGGGUGAGUAAUGCAUCGGAACGUGCCCGGUCGUGGGGGAUAACGCAGCGAAAGUUGCGCUAAUACCGCAUACGAUCUGAGGAUGAAAGCGGGGGACCGUAAGGCCUCGCGCGAUCGGAGCGGCCGAUGUCAGAUUAGGUAGUUGGUGGGGUAAAGGCUCACCAAGCCAACGAUCUGUAGCUGGUCUGAGAGGACGACCAGCCACACUGGGACUGAGACACGGCCCAGACUCCUACGGGAGGCAGCAGUGGGGAAUUUUGGACAAUGGGCGAAAGCCUGAUCCAACAAUGCCGCGUGCAGGAAGAAGGCCUUCGGGUUGUAAACUGCUUUUGUACGGAGCGAAAAGGUCUCCUCUAAUACAGGGGGCUCAUGACGGUACCGUAAGAAUAAGCACCGGCUAACUACGUGCCAGCCGCCGCAGUAAUAC